GGUUGCAGCUCAGUGGUGGAGCACUUGCCUCACAUGCACGAGACACUGGGUUCAAUCCUCAGCACCA
rnacentral:tRNA from 1 species